UUUUCGGGUUACUGUAGCCUCGAUUGUGUGCAAACACCGAAUCUGACGAGAAA
rnacentral:sRNA from 1 species